rnacentral:rRNA from 1 species
CUUGGUCAUUUAGAGGAAGUAAAAGUCGUAACAAGGUAACCGUAGGUGAACCUGCGGUUGGAUCAUUAACGAAAAACAUAAAGAAGGCCCCUGGCUCCCUUUGGCGACAGAGGGUGUCUCGGACCUUUCUUUUCACCCCCCUUGUGAACUGUUUAUUGUAUUUUGGCAGCCCUCUUUGGCAACUCGCGAGAAAUGGCGGAAAGCGCGGCUGCGCUUCGGGGCGGCCGCGUGUGUGUAUGCAUACACGCCUUUCCUGCUUUCUUGUCUGGGCUCUCAGCCGCGUCCUUAACCACACCAGUGUUAUGUCCUUACAUCAGUGUCUCCCCAAAGCAACUUUCUGGCAUGCAAAUGGCAGGAGGAGUAUUGCGACUUUAUUAAGUUGAUAAACAACUUUUGACAAUGGAUCUCUUGGCUCUCGCAACGAUGAAGAACGUAGCGAAUUGCGAUAAGUAGUGUGAAUUGCAGAAUUCAGUGAAUCAUCGAAUUUUUGAACGCAUAUUGCGCUCUCUGGUAUUCCGGGGAGCAUGCUUGUUUGAGAACCGUUUCAUCCCUCGCCCCUCUCCUUCUUCCCCAAACGAACGAAGGAGAGGGCGGAUCUGGUCGGACUCCCUCGGGGGGCAAAACCGCCUCCUGAGGGUCGACUGAAACUGAUUGAUCGGAGCCUUCCGCUAGUGGUGACUCUCGGGGUCACGCAGCCGCUAUUCGGCCCCUCCCGACGCAGACGUGGAUAAUGUGGGAUUCAUUUCUCCUUUUCAUCGUCUCAAAGGGCUUCGGGGCCGGAACUGCGGUGGCUGCGUUUCACACCAAACUCGGAGUUGCCCGGCUUGCGACGAAAAAGCGGCGCGAGGCAAACGGCCCAAACCCGAACAUGCCAGGCGCUCCGCGCAAAAUGUACUUUGCGCCGGGGUGUACACUUGAACUUUUGGUCUCAAAUCAAGCAAGAGGACCCGCUGAACUUAAGCAUAUCAAUAAGCGGAGGAAAAGAAACCAACAGGGAUUCCCCUAGUAACGGCGAGUGAAGCGGGAACAGCUCAACUUUGGAAUCUCACAGGUUUCCUGUGCGAAUUGUAGUUUCUAGAAAUGUUUUCGGGCACGACUUUGGGUUCAAGUCCGUUGGAACGCGGCGCCACAGAGGGUGAGAGCCCCGUAGGGUCCAGUGUUCGUUCCUGUACGAUACAUUUUCAAAGAGUCGGAUAGUUUGGGAAUGCUGUCCAAAAUGGGUGGUAAAUACCAUCUAAAGCUAAAUAACGGCGAGAGACCGAUAGCGAACAAGUACC